rnacentral:rRNA from 1 species
AGUUUAGUCAUGGCUCAGGAAUGAACGCUAGCGGCAGGCUUAAUACAUGCAAGUCGAGGGGUAAGGCAUCUUCGGAUGUACACGACCGGCGCACGGGUGAGGAACACGUACGCAACCUACCUUGUACUGAGGGAUAGCCCCGGGAAACUGGGAUUAAUACCUCAUAGUAUCUAGAAUUCGCAUGUUUUCUAGAUUAAAGUUCCGACGGUACAAGAUGGGCGUGCGUCCCAUUAGCUAGUUGGUAGGGUAACGGCCUACCAAGGCUACGAUGGGUAGCUGGCGUGAGAGCGCGACCAGCCACACUGGCACUGAGACACGGGCCAGACUCCUACGGGAGGCAGCAGUAGGGAAUAUUGGUCAAUGGGCGAAAGCCUGAACCAGCCAUGCCGCGUGGAGGAUGAAUGCCCUCUGGGUUGUAAACUCCUUUUAUAAGAGAAGAAACCCCUGGAUUUACUCCGGGGCUGACGGUAUCUUACGAAUAAGCACCGGCUAACUCCGUGCCAGCAGCCGCGGUAAUACGGAGGGUGCAAGCGUUAUCCGGAUUCACUG